rnacentral:rRNA from 1 species
AGUGAACGCUGGCGGUAGGCCUAACACAUGCAAGUCGAACGGCAGCACAGUAAGAGCUCGCUCUUACGGGUGGCGAGUGGCGGACGGGUGAGGAAUACAUCGGAAUCUACUUUUUCGUGGGGGAUAACGUAGGGAAACUUACGCUAAUACCGCAUACGACCUACGGGUGAAAGCAGGGGAUCUUCGGACCUUGCGCGAUUGAAUGAGCCGAUGUCGGAUUAGCUAGUUGGCGGGGUAAAGGCCCACCAAGGCGACGAUCCGUAGCUGGUCUGAGAGGAUGAUCAGCCACACUGGAACUGAGACACGGUCCAGACUCCCACGGGAGGCAGCAGUGGGGAAUAUUGGACAAUGGGCGCAAGCCUGAUCCAGCCAUACCGCGUGGGUGAAGAAGGCCUUCGGGUUGUAAAGCCCUUUUGUUGGGAAAGAAAAGCAGCAGGUUAAUACCCCGCUGUUCUGACGGUACCCAAAGAAUAAGCACCGGCUAACUUCGUG